rnacentral:rRNA from 1 species
UGGGGAAUAUUGGACAAUGGGGGAAACCCUGAUCCAGCGACGCCGCGUGUGUGAAGAAGGCCUGCGGGUUGUAAAGCACUUUCGGUGGGAACGAAAUAUGCCGGGCUAAUACCCCGGUAGGCUGACGUUACUCAAUGAAGAAGCACCGGCUAACUCUGUGCCAGCAGCCGCGGUAAUACAGAGGGUGCGAGCGUUAAUCGGAAUUACUGGGCGUAAAGCGCACGUAGGUGGCGACGUAAGUCGGGUGUGAAAGCCCCGGGCUCAACCUGGGAACUGCAUUCGAGACUGCAUUGCUGGAGUACGGAAGAGGAGGGCGGAAUUCCCGGUGUAGCGGUGAAAUGCGUAGAUAUCGGGAGGAACAUCAGUGGCGAAGGCGGCCCUCUGGUCCAGUACUGACACUCAAGUGCGAAAGCGUGGGGAGCAAACAGGAUUAGAUACCCAAGUAGUCCCUGAGCGGGCUGGCAAGGCGCAU